UACGGAGGGUGCAAGCGUUAAUCGGAAUUACUGGGCGUAAAGCGUGCGCAGGCGGUUUGUUAAGUCCGCUGUGAAAUCCCCGAGCUCAACUUGGGAAUUGCAGUGGAUACUGGCAAGCUGGAGUAUGGUAGAGGAAGGUGGAAUUCCCGGUGUAGCAGUGAAAUGCGUAGAGAUCGGGAGGAACACCAGUGGCGAAAGCGGCCUUCUGGACCAAUACUGACGCUCAUGCACGAAAGCGUGGGGAGCAAACAGG
rnacentral:rRNA from 1 species